rnacentral:rRNA from 1 species
UGAACGCUAGCUACAGGCUUUAACACAUGCAAGUCGAGGGGAAACGGCAUUGAGUGCUUGCACUCUUUGGACGUCGACCGGCGCACGGGUGAGUAACGCGUAUCCAACCUUCCCAUUACUGUGGGAUAACCUGCCGAAAGGCCGACUAAUACCGCAUAGUCUUCGAUGACGGCAUCAGAUUUGAAGUAAAGAUUUAUCGGUAAUGGAUGGGGAUGCGUCUGAUUAGCUUGUUGGCGGGAUAACGGCCCACCAAGGCGACGAUCAGUAGGGGUUCUGAGAGGAAGGUCCCCCACAUUGGAACUGAGACACGGUCCAAACUCCUACGGGAGGCAGCAGUGAGGAAUAUUGGUCAAUGGACGGAAGUCUGAACCAGCCAAGUAGCGUGCAGGAUGACGGCCCUAUGGGUUGUAAACUGCUUUUGUAUGGGGAUAAAGUCAAUCACGUGUGAUUGUUUGCAGGUACCAUACGAAUAAGGACCGGCUAAUUCCGUGCCAGCAGCCGCGGUAAUACGGAAGGUCCAGGCGUUAUCCGGAUUUAUUGGGUUUAAAGGGAGCGUAGGCUGGAUAUUAAGUGUGUUGUGAAAUGUAGACGCUCAACGUCUGACUUGCAGCGCAUACUGGUUUCCUUGAGUACGCACAACGUUGGCGGAAUUCGUCGUGUAGCGGUGAAAUGCUUAGAUAUGACGAAGAACUCCGAUUGCGAAGGCAGCUGACGGGAGCGCAACUGACGCUUAAGCUCGAAGGUGCGGGUAUCAAACAGGAUUAGAUACCCUGGUAGUCCGCACAGUAAACGAUGGAUGCCCGCUGUUGGUACCUGGUAUCAGCGGGUAAGCGAAAGCAUUAAGCAUCCCACCUGGGGAGUACGCCGGCAACGGUGAAACUCAAAGGAAUUGACGGGGGCCCGCACAAGCGGAGGAACAUGUGGUAUAAUUCAGAUGAUACGCGAGGAACCUUACCCGGGCUUGAAUUGCAGAGGAAGGAUUUAGAGAUAAUGACGCCCUUCCGGGUCUCUAUGAAGGUGCUGCAUGGUUGUCGUCAGAUCGUGCCGUGAGGUGUCGGUUUAAGUGCCAUAACGAGCGCAACCCCUCUCUUCAGUUGCCUUCAGGUGAUGGUGGGCACUCCGGAGACCAAGCCACUCUAAGGCGUGAGGAAGCAGGGGAUGAAGUUAAAUCAGCACGGUCCUUACGUCUGGGGGUACACACGUGUUACAAUGUCCGCUACAGAGGGAUGGUGUAAUCCAAAAUGCAUCAAAUCUAGAAAGCCGGUUCCACUUCGGACUGGGGUAUGCAACCCGACCCCAAGCAGCCGGAUUCGUUAGUAAUCGCGCAUCAGCCAUGGCGCGGUGAAUAAGUUCCCGGCCCUUGUAAUCACCGCCCGUCA